CCCUGUGUUGUCAAUUUAUGCAGCACAUCACAGAGAAUUAUGGAAACCCCAUUGGCUUUGCUAGAGUGAUAUGUUGAGAGUUAUUUCCAGUUGAGGGAACAAAUGACAAGGAAAAAGAAAACGAUGGAAAUAAAUAACAGGUGGAGAGGUGUUAUGAAGGAAAUUUGACUCACUCAAACACUUAGAACCAAUUAUACAUACGUGGAUAGAAGUGUGAAUCUAUUUGGAUAGCUUUAUCUGCAAGUUUUAAACACUGUGAGGGUGCACGGAAGAUCUACAAACAAACUCAUCAUGGAUGUGUCCUUGGAAGGAGAAACCUUUGUCCCUGUAUUUUCAGGCCAAAUAAGCUCAAGCAUAUACCUGUUCUCUAAGUACACAUUUUCAAGUGAGGUAAAUCAAAAGUGGACAUAAAGUCUCCUUACAUCCCUGUUUUUCAAAAUAGCACCAUCACUCAUGAGAUAAACUAAGUGGCUCUAAAUUUACUUCAUGAAAUUCAUCUCUCUAAAGAAUAAAGUUCUUGUGCUUGCAUUAA